UACGUAGGGUCCGAGCGUUGUCCGGAAUUAUUGGGCGUAAAGGGCUCGUAGGCGGUCUGUUGCGUCGGGAGUGAAAACUUACAGCUUAACUGUGAGCGUGCUUUCGAUACGGGCAGGCUAGAGUUCGGUAGGGGAGACUGGAAUUCCUGGUGUAGCGGUGAAAUGCGCAGAUAUCAGGAGGAACACCGGUGGCGAAGGCGGGUCUCUGGGCCGAUACUGACGCUGAGGAGCGAAAGCGUGGGGAGCGAACAGG
rnacentral:rRNA from 1 species